UGGCUCAGAUGGUAAAGCACCUGCCUGCAAUGCAGGAGACCAGGGUUCAAUCCCUG
rnacentral:tRNA from 1 species